ensembl:lncRNA
AAUACAAUACAGCUGUUUCUCCAUCCUGUACAAGACUUUGAAGCUGGGUCAAAAAUUAGACCACACUACACAGCGACUCAAAUGGCAAUAUCUGUGUGUGAGAGGGAAGGGGGGGGUGGGGGGGAGGGGAGCGCAAAACUUGAUCAUAAAAUAGGAUUAGAGUGCAGUAAGACGGGUUUGGAUGUAAGCCAGGGAAGGGUUCGGCUAUUUUCUAGUACGGAACGUCUCGUAAUCUCCCUCCAUCCCCAUCGCCAUUGAGACUCAGUGGUGCAGUCCGGCUCGUUUUUCUCCCCAUCUGAUCUUCAAAGUGAAGCACCGAGGUAUCCCAGAGCCCCCAAAAAAAAACCCCACUCGCUUAUAGAAGCCGAUCCCGAUGAUAACGUUUGGUGUUCGGUGCACACACAAAAAAAAAACAUUUCUAAAGUCAGAAUUGAAGACUGAGUAUUUCUGUGUAAACCUGACGUGAGGGUGUUCGAAACGUGACAAAACGUCACAAGAGGGUUAAACCCGUAAAUCUGCGGCGUGAAAUCGGGACUCUGGGGCGGUGGAUGUGUUCCUGAGUGCAGUACCCGGCGUCCACAAGGACUCAUAACAAACACACACAUUAUGUAAAGUGAGCAAUUGUUCGGCGUAGCUUUAAGAGUCUUCGGUAAAAUAUAUAGAGCGUUCCCUAAUGCCAACACACACACACACACACACACACACACACACACACACGUUAGCUCGUGUUAGCAUUAGUCCUGUUCAGAGUCAGAUCCAGACCUGGUCUUUGCAUGGCUCCUAUAUGUCUCUUUAACAGCACAGUCUAUUAAUAACUGCCAGUCAGGCACAGCAUGUUCCUCACAAGCCACAUCCCACUCAGGCUCACACACACACUGCGCAGCUGCUUAAACCCUGCGGGCCUUACACACACACACACACACACACACACACAUUUCUGCAUGGAGAAAGAGCACACAAUUGAAAAUUCUCACAGUAUCAUAAUACAUCAGUAUACACAGAUCAGAUUCUCAAAUCUGAUUGGCCGGAAGGACGGCGCUGAGGAAUUUUCUAUAACAGUAUAUAGCAGCUCCAAAUCCCAGAUUUAUUAUUAUAUUAAGGUUCUAAUACAUUAUUAAAUGGAGCUAGAUACAGAUACGAAGUGUCUCUUUAUUCUGUAAUAAAUUCCUGUGGUAUAAGAGGAGUAAGACGCUUCGGGUCAUGCCGCUACAGUGACUCCGCUUCGUCAUAGCGCCCAGUCGCUGAUUAUUUUCCUAGAACAGCACCGCGCAGUGUUUUAUUCAGUAUAGAACGUGAUCUCCAGGCCCAUAUUUAUUGAUAGAAAUAUUUGUUUUAUCGCAUUAUUCUCAGCUCAUCUGAUUCUCUACUACAUUUCAUCCAUCCAUCCAUCUUCUAUACCGCUUAUCCUUUUCAGGGUCACGGGGAACCUGGAGCCUAUCCCAGGCACAAGGCGGGGUACACCCUGGAAAGGGUGCCAGUCCAUCGCAGGACACAAUCACACACACACUCACACACCCAUUCAUACACUACGGACACUUUGGACACGCCGAUCAGCCUACCGUGCAUGUCUUUGGACCGGGGGAGGAAACCGGAGUACCCGGAGGAAACCCCCGCAGCACGGGGAGAACACGCAAACCCCGCACACACAGGGCCACGGUGGGAAUCGAACCCCCUCACACUCCUGCAGGUGUGAGGCGAACGUGCUAACCACGAAGCCACCGUGCGCCCUUACAUUUUAUUUAUUUAUUUCUUUAAACCUGAACUUCCCUUCAUUAAGAUAAAUCCUUAACUUUUUAAACCGAUACGCGUUUUUGCUAGGUGAUCUGAUUAUUUAUUUUACUGCUCGUCGUGUCCAGGGAAUCGUACGACGUGAACGGUUUCCUGAGCUAGCUGGAGUUUCAGGAACACCUCGUUUCUUGCUCCUUCUACAAACAUAUUCCAUUUGCACCCAGACGCAUAAAGUGCGAAGGGGUGUGUAUAUUUAUAAGCGCUAGACAAAAUGCAGAUAAAAAGAGCAGAAGAUGAGUAAAAACAGAAGAUGAGUAAAAAGGGAAAGUACACGGAUAGUAAGUGAAUGCAUGUGUGUGUGUGUGUGUGUGUGUGUGUGUGUGUAUCAACAACAGACCCGCUGACGAGUAACAGGAAGUAGAAAAGAACAGGAAAGAAAUUCCAUAGAUUCAAACUUCCGUCCAUACAGUAUUGUGUAAACACAGAGCCCCGCCCUCUUAACCGCCGUCUCCCGCUACACCGUCCCGUACAUACGACAACUCGACUCAACUCUGGUUUUGAAGAACUUGAGAUUUUCUUUCACCCAAUCGUUUUACUCACCGAAUUUCUGUGUCUCUCUCUCUCUCUCUCUCUCUCUCUAUAUAUAUAUAUAUAUAUAUAUAAAUAUAUUUCACAAUGAAAUCGGUGUAGGAGCUUUUAACUAACGAUAACUAUUAUGACAAAAGUUGAGCUUUAUGCAGCGUAGGCCUUAUUAGGAACAGUGUUUACUACGGCUGCGUUCACCGUGUCGUAUUACGGCUUGAGAUCGACGACAGCAGCUGCUUACAGGUUUGAGUCCUGCAAUGGUUUGUCCAUCCAGCAGAUUAAAGUAGCUGCUUGAACACAUCUGUACGAACAAACAGCUGGCGGCACGACAGUAUUCUAACCGUAGCGACAGUAUGAAAAACGAAGAUGAAAUAAACAAUGUUUAUUAACAAGGCAGGUAACGGGGAAAAAAGAUACAAAUGUAACGAAAGUAAUCAAAGGUAAAAUGUAAAACACUGUUUUACUGUUUAUUAGUUAAAUAUACAAUGAUUCUUAUUAAAGGUUAGUGGUUAGCACGUUCGUCGCACACCGACGUUCGUCGGGGGUUCGAUUCAACAAUGCUGCCCUGUGUGGGCGGAGUUUGCAUGUUCAAUGGGGGGGUGGGGGGGGGUUUCCUCUGGGUACUCUGGUUUCCUCACACAGUCCAAAGACAUGCAUAGUGGUGGUUAAGGCUCUGGGUUACUGAUCGGAAGGUCGGGGGUUCCUGCCAAGCUGCCACUGUUGGGGCCUCGAGCAAGGCUCUCUACCCUCUCUGCUCCAGGGGGCGCUGUAUCAUGGUUGACCCUGCCCUCUGACCCCAACUUCCUGACAUGCUGGGGUGUUAGAAGAAAAGAAUUUCACUCUGCUGUAAAGACUCAUCAUCAUUAUGGUAGGCUGACUGGCGUGUCCGUAGUGUCUGAAUGUGAUUGCGCAAUCCUGCCAUGGAUUGGCACCCCGUCCAGGGUGUACCCGAAUCUGUGCCCGAUGCUCCUCGCAAGGACAAGCGGUAUAGAAAAUGGAUGGAUGGAUGGAUUCUUAUUAAAGCUAAAGUUAGCGCAGCGAACGAUUUUCCUUCAUUCCUCUGUCAUUUAAUAAACAGUUAUUUAAGAAAGCACCAUUUUAUCCGGUCUCUGUUGAAAAAAUUCCCACGCUUUUGAUCGACUCCUGGAUGUUUUUGGCAUAACUCCUGAUAAUAUCCGAUCUCUCUGAUAAUAAUAAUAAUAAUAAUAAUAAUAAUAAUAAUAAUAAUAAAGAAGAAAUCUAAUACACCGAUAUACUAAGCUCAGUCACAAGCCUCAUGACAGACAUCAGGAUUAAGAACUGAAGCUGACUAUAAUUAGCGCUCGAGUGAAAACUCCUCAGAACGUAUACGAUGAAGGACCGAGUGGGGAAAAAAAGCAGGCCGGUACAUUACAACUGGCACGGAGUUGUUCCUUUUAUUUAUUUUUUUCUUACUUGUUUACGCCAAGAAAAACAGCUCUAACGCUAAUGCUAACAUUAACGUUAAACGUUAAUGCCUGUCUUGGGCUGUCUUUCACAACUUCCUGGAAAAUCUCCCGCAGAUUCACGGAAGAGUCGUUUACACGGAGACGUAAAGUGUAAGCGUUUUCCCGGUUAAUGAGACAUAAACCACGAUUUCUAAUAAAACAAUGAAACCCGAUCUAUCGUAAAGGUUAACUAUACACCAUACACAUGGGCAACGCGUCUGAGUUAUAGUUGUAAUCAUGAGAAAAGCCCCUGGAUAGUAAUACAUUCCUAGUGCUUCACUACUCGCUUAUGGGCAUGUUAUUCCCCUUUCUACCUGCUAGCGUGUUGCACGCUCGCAAUAAAUAACUCGAUAACGCGAUCCGUUUCGGUGCAAACGGUUCCCGAUCGCCGGGCGGGGUCUCUCUCGUCGGAACCGCGGGGGUGACGCAUAUAACGAGCGUGUACCGGUGCGCCAGUUACGGCGAGAGAGUAGGGAGGAGAGCAGGAUGUUCUUUCUCAGGAGAAAACGAGCCACUUCCAAGAUUAAACCCAGACUGCAAUGAGCACCGAUCUACACACCCUUUAAAACCCCUCGUAAAAAAGCCGAUCGAUCCGGCCGUGCCCCGCCAACAAAGUGCGUUAAAUAUAGAAAAGAAACACUGGCUUCUCAAGGGUUGUUUGGAUACGUAAGGGUCUUGCGUUCAUAUAUGUAGAACCAUCCAUCCAUCCAUCUUCUACCGCUUACUCCUUCUUCAGGGUCGCGGGGGAACCUGGAGCCUAUCCCAGGGAGCAUGGGGCACAAGGCGGGGUACACCCUGGACAGGGUGCCAGUCGGCUCACGGAGCCAUGUUUUAAUCAAAUAAAACUGAUAAAUACUCAAAAUACUCAAUCCAAGGCGGCGGACAGUUGUGGAAACACUGGUCAUGUCUUGCUUUAAACAAGCGUUUUUACACUGUAUAAGAAAAAUAAUAAUAAUAAUUCUGGUUUGGUCUGCACUUAUAUAGCGCUUGGGGUUUUUUUUUAACCUUAGAGGUUCUACAAAGCACUUUUCACACACCAAUGGUAGCAGAGCUGCCACGCAAGGCGCUAACUUGCCAUCUGGAGCAACUUGGGGUUCAGUGUCUCGCCCAUGGACACUUCGGUACGUGGAGUCACGUGGGCCGGGAAUCGAACCGCCGACCCUACGACUAGCGGACGACCCGAGUCUACUACCUGAUCCACAGCCGCCGACGUUUUCAUUUAUACAACUGAGCAGAUGAGGGUUAAGGGCCUUGCUCAAGGGUGGCAGCUUAGCAGUGCUGGGAUUUGAACUCACGACCGUCCAAUCAGAACUCCAAUCGGAAGUCCAACGUCUUAACCACUGAGCUACCACUUCCCUGUGCUACUCUGACCAAAGCCAGUGUCCAAAAUAUUUUCUGGAGAUCUCUGAGUGUGAGUGAGUGAGUGAGUGAGUGCAGCUACGAUGCUCUUCUAAAAUCCACCGAUAGAAGGACAGCAUAGGAAUACGUAAAACUCCCGGAGCAGCUACACAUCUAGUAGAGGUGAUGGCAGAGCAUAAGCAGAACAUGCUAAUCGACCUGUUUAUGCGACGAGCCCGAAGUGCGCUGAUUGAUGAAGUGGUUUUCUUUCCUCGCAGGUCUAUCGUUACAGAAUCUUAAUCGUAUUAUCUGACAUGGAGAACAACCUAACUCCCCCGAUGCUGAUACUGUACCUAUUUACAAAAAAAAAAAAAAAAAGCGCUAAUGCUAUAAUAGCUUCAGGAGAUCUUAUAAGAAUGUGUACAAGACAGAACAGGACAAAGUCCUCUAGCUGUGAAAUGCAGCUUUAAAACACGUUGGGGUUUGUUUUCUUCCUCGUGAGCGACAAAAAUAAACGCCGGUAGGUGCUCAGUAACAGUUCGGAGAACUCUGCAAGGUAAAUAAAAUUGCUGUGUCACAUUGUAGUCACAGGUGGAAAGGCCAAGAGGAAAAUUGCAGCGAGCAUCUCGACACAGAAUAACUGGCCCCUCUUUCACAGCCUCUACCUUACGAUUAGCUUGAACCGAAUUUUUUUUUCUUUUUUUUUAAAAUUCGACAUUUAUUAGUGCUUUUACGGUAGGCAUGCUACUCCAGAAUUUAUGGUAAAUUUCCUGGAUGCUAGGAGCUUUAUUAUUAUUUAUUUACAUACUCCAGAAGUUCUAAAUGUGCCCAUUUAUUACAGUUUUUACGGUAGGCAUGCUACUCCAGAAUUUAUGGUAAAUUUCCUGGAUGCUAGGAGCUUUCUUAUUAUUUAUUUACAUAUACAAGAAGUUCUAAAUGUGCCCAUUUAUUACAGUUUUUACGGUAUUCAUGCUACUCCAAAAGUUUAUCCAUUUUAUUUGGGGUUUGUCUAUAGCCAUGCUGCUCUACAGAUUUUGGUCAAUUCCAUAUUCGUUUCGUUUUCAGCAGGCGCGCUGCUCCAGAAGUUACGGUAGUGUUCCCUGUGUAUUAGUGCUUUUAUGCUAGGCAUGCUACUCUAAAACUUAUAAUAGUUACAGUAGGUUGUUCGUGUUGUUUGUGGUUUUAGAAUACUAAAAUAAUAAACUGACCAUUUUAUUUAUUAGACUUUGUUUAAUAAUAAGCCUCACAGUCCGUAAGAUUUAGUAGUUUGCCCAUCUAUUAUUGCUUUCAAGGUAGACGUUCUACUCUAGACGUUUUAUAUAUAUAUAUACAUAUAAACAGACAUGCUCCUCCACAGGUUAUGGUAAAAUACUUAUUUAUUAAAGAUUUCUUUUUAAACAAUAGCCAGGAGGUACCCCAGAAGCUUUUACGGUAAUUUGCUCGGUUAUCAGCGCUUUAAUGGUAGACAUGCUGCUCCAGACCUCGUGCUGGUCUGUUGUUUAUAUUUGUGGUUUUAAAUGAGAUACUCUUCUCCAUGUAACGGUAAAUCGCAUAUUCAUUAGGAUUUUUAGGCAUGAUAGUGCGGACGUUACAGUAGUUUGGUUUUGUUUUUAUUUGUGCUUUUAUAGUAGCCAUGCUAAACAUGAACGUACGGUAGUUUGCACAGUUUAAUGGUUGAUAUGAAGCACAAGUAGAUGCAGAUAUAUUGCUGCUUUCUGGUAGAUGCGCUGCUCCAGAAUUGACAGUAAUUGAAGAUAAUUGUGGACAUUUUCACAGCAUCCCAUGCUGCUCCGGUAAUUACAGCAGUUAUACGUUCUCCCAGUUACGGGAAGAUGCAUACCUGUGACUGAGAUUGGUACAACAGGAUCGUUUCCAUAUUUUACUGUGAUGUCUUCAACGUCACACCCAGCCCUAUUACACAGUCCUUCCCAUGCUCCCUCUGAAUACUGCUGUAUCGCUCCUCUAACCAAAACACCAGAGAGCUGACGGCAAUAUUUUUCUUCUCCGAGCUUCCCCCGAAAGCCGUCUGUCUCUCUGACUGGCCCAAUUCUUCACCAAGAUAUUAAUAUGAUUUUCAAAAUGUUACCCUGUCCUCAUUAGGAGAAUUACCGGCUGGUGAAAGAUCACUCGUUUAAGUGGGUUAUAAAGCUUCUCUUAUGCUGCUCCACGUCCGGCCGCACUCCGGCUUUUAUAAGGCCUAAUUCAUGACCCGGAACGUAAUUUGGUCCCAAUGAGAAAAACCAGUACGGAGCUAAACGCAUUUCCGAGUCGAAACAAGCGCGUUUAAUCUUCCCGGAAGAUUAAACGGGAGAUUCCCGGAGGAUUAAACGGGAAGCCUCCUGCUCUUUGAAAAGGCAUGGAGUCAUUCACUGACCUAGAUAUUAUUAUCUUCGGCAUAUAAGCACAUUGUACUUGAUUUUUGCACUCGGAGAAAGAGAAACUGUGAGAGCGAGAUAGUGAAAGUGUGUUUAUUCCUACACACAUAGCUCCGACCUCCUACAGCCGGCGAGACAGCCGCACCAUUCAUGCGAACGGCGUGCCACGACGGACCCACGGCAGACCUGUUCGAGCGGGGUCUGGCGCCAAACCCGUCCAUUCUCAGCACGGACAUUACUCCAAGAGACUUCGAUUCGCCAGGUCAGCAGCUUCCCCAAGUGACUCCUUUGCGCAAGAGGACACCGAGGACAUCGCAUUGCAUCCUUUCUGAAAAUUGCUCAUGGAAAUAGUGGAGGGAAAAAAAAAAAACAAUCAGGAAGACAGAUCUGACCAUGCCAAGUCAUUAAUUGACACGCUAAUUAGCUCAGCUAGUGUCCUCUCCACUUGGGGCCAGGCCUUGAUGUUCCCCCGAGGCAUCCCUGAAGCCUGCGCUGAAUAACUGAAUGUCUUCCUGCUGAUGUGGGGGGAAAAAAACCAGCACUUCCUCUGAGGAAAACGCAACAGGAUGUCGGAGAUGCUCCGUGGGGACCCCUGCCACGACGACCUCAUCUGCGGCAGCAGCCGUCAGUUCAGAGAGUAUUAACAAAGGAGCGUCUAUAACGUAGACGGUCGAGGAAAAGACGUCUGCUAUCCAAAGGCAAAACCAUUUAUAUCUGACGGGGGUGCGGUGGGUGUGGGGCUGUCAUAUGGUCAUUUCCCACCCCUAACUAAAGCUGGAGGGGCAACCCUGGAGAAACCAGGAAUGCUCAUGUUAACACUUUCGCUGGAGGAAAAGAGCCCAUUGUUUCGUGCGCUCUCCACCAGACUCGACAGGAAGUCACAGUAAUUAUGUAGGCUUAUGUACAGACUGUAAGUCCCAGGCAAAAAGUGCAAUAAUGACGGCUAAGUUUCAGUUCAAAUCGGAGCCCCUUCCCAGACGAGUGGGAUAUUAUAAGCUUCGAGGCCAAAAGUUUGUAGACACCUCGCCGUCAUAAUCGUAUGCGCCCGUUGAACAUCUCAUUAAAGCUCCACUCUUCUGGGAAGGCUUUCCGCUAGAUUUUGGAGCGUGGCUGUGGGGAUUAGUGUCUAUACAUUCAAAGUCAUUCAGACAAAGAAAAAGUCAUCAGAGUCAGUUCUGCGGUGACGGGUCUGGAGGAGAACCGCAAACGGACGUGAUCAUCAGGUGUAUAGUGUAUAUUAAGAAAUAGCAAAUCCACAUUGUGGUGCUUGGCGAAUUCUUUGUAUGUUUAUGUAGCUCUACUUAAGAGAUCAGAGCGCUACAAAGGUUCAUAAUCAAGCCUGUCAGUAGCAUCCAGGGAUCAGAGCCAGAUGUGUUGACGUGUGGAAAGUAAACUGUGGUGGAUCUGAAGGAAUGGGUUCUGAAUGAGUUCUGGAAUUUCUCAUUGUAAAUACACCGUGUUUACAUGCAGAGCCAGAACGGAGCGUACGCGGGGAUUUGCCGACGAAUCGACGGGUUAAUCAUGCAUAAAUGGAGCAUUUUGUUCGAAAUUGAAAAUUUUUUUUUUUUUAAAAAUGCGUUUCGCCUCACACCAAUAAAAAACAGAUGUUGGCGAAAACAAAAUAUUAAAAAGGGAGCUUUCACAAUGUGUAAUCCCCUCAUUUAUCUUCAGCUGACUGCUAGGACAGUGAAGAUCAUCUCUGGCCUUCUCACCCCUUCAAUCUUAUUUAUAUAACAACAGUCAGGCGGCUAUGGUUACGUUACAGACAGACCGAGCCAGAAAAGCCAGUAGAACAUAAAGGAAGCUAUACCGUAAACAAUAUACAUGCUAACCGUCCCUCAUCCUAUUAGCAUGCGUCUAUUAGCAUGACACAAACCAGGCUGAAACUACUGCUUAAUGAAAUGUCCUGUUUUCCAUCACAUAACAGUACUUCGGCAAAAAAAAAAAAAACAAACCCCAGAGCAGUUCAUGAGAAUCGUGUCGAAGCUGAAAUCGUGCACCGCUGCACUCGCAUAUCGCG